ACUUGAACAGCAUGUAUUACUAAAAUUGGAGCAAUACAGAGAAGAUUAGCAUGGCCCCUGCAUAGGGAAGACACAUAAAUUCAUGAAGUGUUCCGUGUUUUA
ensembl:snRNA U6 U6 spliceosomal RNA